rnacentral:lncRNA from 1 species
UUCCAUAUAAUCCAUAUCAUCAGGUGCACACGGGGGCGCCGAUCUCCCAUUUUCCCGGCCGACGGUCAAAUAUCAUAUCAUAUUCAGGAUCCAAUAUCAUAGAGACCGUCCUCACAAACCCAUGGUGGCCCACUUCAUCCCAAUUCCACACAAACAAGGCACAACAAUAUCACAUCACAGGUAAUCAAGCAUUAUUUAAUAUCAACAAAUAGUGCAUCACAAUAUAGCAGCAAUUCAACAAAAUAAUGCAUGAUAACAUUUAGCCGUGAAUGCAUGAAUGCAAGCGGAUGAUAC